UACGGGGGGGGCAAGCGUUGUUCGGAAUUACUGGGCGUAAAGGGCUCGUAGGUGGCCAACUAAGUCAGACGUGAAAUCCCUCAGCUUAACUGGGGAACUGCGUCUGAUACUGGAUGGCUUGAGUUUGGGAGAGGGAUGCGGAAUUCCAGGUGUAGCGGUGAAAUGCGUAGAUAUCUGGAGGAACACCGGUGGCGAAGGCGGCAUCCUGGACCAAAAAGGACACUGAUGAGCGAAAGCCAGGGGAGCAAACGGG
rnacentral:rRNA from 1 species